rnacentral:rRNA from 1 species
CGCGGCCUAUCAGCUUGUUGGUGAGGUAAUGGCUUACCAAGGCUUCGACGGGUAACCGGCCUGAGAGGGUGACCGGUCACACUGGGACUGAGACACGGCCCAGACUCCUACGGGAGGCAGCAGUGGGGAAUAUUGCACAAUGGGCGAAAGCCUGAUGCAGCGACGCCGCGUGAGGGAUGACGGCCUUCGGGUUGUAAACCUCUUUCAGUCAGGAACAAGCCUUCGGGUGAGGGUACUGGCAGAAGAAGCACCGGCUAACUGCGUGCCAGCAGCCGCGGUAAUACGUAGGGUGCGAGCGUUAUCCGGAAUUAUUGGGCGUAAAGAGCUUGUAGGCGGUUUGUCGCGUCUGCUGUGAAAGCCCGGGGCUUAACUCCGGGUCUGCAGUGGGUACGGGCAGGCUAGAGUGAUGUAGGGGUAACUGGAAUUCCUGGUGUAGCGGUGGAAUGCGCAGAUAUCAGGAAGAACACCGAUGGCGAAGGCAGGUUACUGGGCAUUUACUGACGCUGAGAAGCGAAAGCAUGGGGAGCGAACAGGAUUAGAUACCCUGGUAGUCCAUGCCGUAAACGUUGGGCGCUAGGUGUGGGGAGCAUUCCACGUGUUCCGCGCCGUAGCUAACGCAUUAAGA